GGCUGGUCCAAAGGUAGUGAGUUAUUAAUAUCUCAACUGAUUGUUCAGAGGCAGUUAUAGAUCUAACUUCUUGUUCUACUCUCUCCCUCCUUCUCACUACUACACUUGACUAGUAUUGA
ensembl:misc_RNA Y_RNA Y RNA